rnacentral:rRNA from 1 species
ACGAACGCUGGCGGCAGGCUUAACACAUGCAAGUCGAGCGGGCCCUUCGGGGUCAGCGGCAGACGGGUGAGUAACACGUGGGAACGUACCUUUUGGUUCGGAACAACUCCGGGAAACUGGAGCUAAUACCGGAUAAGCCCUUAGGGGGAAAGAUUUAUCGCCAAAAGAUCGGCCCGCGUCUGAUUAGCUAGUUGGUGGGGUAACGGCCCACCAAGGCGACGAUCAGUAGCUGGUCUGAGAGGAUGAUCAGCCACACUGGGACUGAGACACGGCCCAGACUCCUACGGGAGGCAGCAGUGGGGAAUAUUGGACAAUGGGCGCAAGCCUGAUCCAGCCAUGCCGCGUGAGUGAUGAAGGCCUUAGGGUUGUAAAGCUCUUUUGUCCGGGAAGAUAAUGGCUGUACCGGAAGAAUAAGCCCCGGCUAACUUCGUG